AUUGAACGCUGGCGGCACGCCUAACACAUGCAAGUCGAGCGGUAACAUGGUUAGUAGCAAUACUAACUGAUGACGAGCGGCGGACGGGUGAGUAACACGUAGGAACUUGCCCAGUAGUGGGGGACAACCAAGGGAAACUUUGGCUAAUACCGCAUAAAAUCGAGAGAUCAAAGCUGCCGCAAGGUCGCGCCAUUGGAGAGGCCUGCGUCUGAUUAGCUAGUUGGUGAGGUAAUAGCUUACCAAGGCGGGGAUCAGUAACUGGUUUGAGAGGACAGCCAGUCACACUGGGCCUGAGACACGGGCCAGACGCCUACGGGAGGCAGCAGUGGGGAAUCUUGGACAAUGGGGGCAACCCUGAUCCAGCGAUGCCGCGUGAGUGAAGAAGGCCUUCGGGUCGUAAAGCGCGUUAGGCUGGGAAGAAGGUUGGGAGUUUAAGAGACGCUCAGCUUGGCUGUACCAGCGGAAUAAGCACCGGCAAACUCUGUGCCAGCCGCCGCGGUAA
rnacentral:rRNA from 1 species